rnacentral:rRNA from 1 species
GGUGGUAAUGCCGGAUGCUCCAGUUGAUCGCAUGGUCUUCUGGGAAAGCCUUUGCGGCAUGGGAUGGGGUCGCGUCCUAUCAGCUUGAUGGCGGGGUAACGGCCCACCAUGGCUUCGACGGGUAGCCGGCCUGAGAGGGCGACCGGCCACAUUGGGACUGAGAUACGGCCCAGACUCCUACGGGAGGCAGCAGUGGGGAAUAUUGCACAAUGGGCGCAAGCCUGAUGCAGCGACGCCGCGUGAGGGAUGGAGGCCUUCGGGUUGUAAACCUCUUUUGUUAGGGAGCAAGGCAUUUUGUGUUGAGUGUACCUUUCGAAUAAGCACCGGCUAACUACGUGCCAGCAGCCGCGGUAAUACGUAGGGUGCAAGCGUUAUCCGGAAUUAUUGGGCGUAAAGGGCUCGUAGGCGGUUCGUCGCGUCCGGUGUGAAAGUCCAUCGCUUAACGGUGGAUCCGCGCCGGGUACGGGCGGGCUUGAGUGCGGUAGGGGAGACUGGAAUUCCCGGUGUAACGGUGGAAUGUGUAGAUAUCGGGAAAGAACACC